CCAUAGCCAUAGGGUAUAAUUUUUUGCAGGAUGAGGUGACGGUCCCCAUUAUAUCAGGUAAUGGUGGGUUAUGUGAGAAGAUUGGUCAAUUCAUUGACCAUCAUCUAAAAAUGCUUGUUAACACUUUACCAUCCUUCAUACAGGACACAACGGCAGCGCUAAAUAGACUAAAUAACAUGCAAGUUGAAGAUAACAUGAUUCUGGUCACAGCUGAUGUUGAAGCGCUAUAUUCGAACAUUAAGCACGAAGAUGGUCUAAAAGCAGUGGCUGAAUACCUUAAAGAUGGGCAAGGAGGUCACAUUUCUAGACCUAAAGAUACAAAUAAAAGAGAAUGGGACAUUAGAAACUGACGUCCAUAGGAAAGAAACUGCGGUUAAUACGCUACUGCAUGCCGAAUCAUCCCAUCCAAAAUCCACCAUAGAUGGAAUACCUAUUGGACAAUUCGCAAGGAUAAAGAGGAUUUGCUCUAAUGAAAAACUUACGUGGAGGUGUUGAGUGAUCGAUGGCUGGAUUCCUGUGUCCGAAACUGCACAUUGAAACCUGUGGAGGAAAAAAUAAGAAGGAGAAAAGAAGAAUUAAAUAUCUAAUGAGUAUAUCCAUCUGUAAAGGACAUUCUAGUACAACAUAUGGAAUUAUUACUAUACCGGCUAAACUGGAUAUGAAAGUAAUGUGUGAGGGUUGAUAUUCAAUUCAGCUCUGUCAAGCAUACACUAUGUAUAUGUGUGAGUAUAGAUUAAUAGGGGUUUGGAUGGUGAUAAUGCCCUGAGAGGCAUCUGUCACAUAUAUAGAGGGUGCACAGAUAAAUAGACACUAGUUUAUAUUUAGAGAGGAUGUUAACUACCCAUUUAUAUUAUAGAGGGUGCACAGAUAAAUAGGCACCAGUCUACAGUAAGGGAGGAUGUAUUCACCCACUCGCUUUAGUGGGAAUAGGUUUGAAUCAUGGGAUUGAUAGCAUUUAGGUAGAAUUAUUAAUUUCACUUUAGAUAUUGAUAGUAAGACAUAUGCACGGCACUUUAAUGUUUGCGAUAAUGAAAUGGGCAUGAAUAUAUGAGAUUUUAUACUUAUUUAUAUUUAUAUUAAUGACAGAUAAUACGCACUUUAUUUUAUCUAUGCACUAGACACUUUGAUAAAUGGACUUGACGUCAUGUAUAUGGACAUGUUAACAUAUACGUGAGAUAAGAUAUUGAAUGGACUUGAGAUAAGUAUCUUACACCUUUAUGGAUGGUUUUGGCAUGAUAUAUGUGGAUGUGCCAAUGUAUACAUGGGAUGUGAUACUGAUUGGAUUAAUGCAGAGAUAUAGACAUGCCAUAUAUUGGCAGGUAUAUAUGUGUGCAUUUUGUGUGUACAUAUGUAUAUCUUGCGCUCACCAUAUGAUGGCAUGUGUGCACUUAGUGCAGAUCCAUAUAUAUCUUGCUCGUAUCCAAUUGAAUAGUAGAUACUAUAUUGUUAACAAUAUUGACCCCACAUUUAUGUCCCUCCACCUGGUUAUGUAUUUAUGAUUUUUUCCAGCAUAGAUUGAUGUAUAGACAAAUAUAAUGCAUAGAUAAAUAUGGCAUCUGUGUAAUGUAGAUACUUUUGAAUGAUAUGGAAGCGAGUUUCGGCACUGUAAUAUUCAGUGGCGUUGCGGAUUGAUCUGCGUACAAUCUACAAUUUGAUAUGUUGGAGAGACGGAAGAUCAAUACCAGUAAUAGACACAUAGACAAGAAAAUACCUACACAUACAUUGCUAUGAAGAUGGAUAACCUGAUGAUUCCUGUACGCAUCGCGGAUGGGAGGACUUUCGCCGUCCCGACGGGCGUGAUCGGGGUGACGUCAGACGCAUUCUGCCCUCACUUGGAUCGCGCUGAUGGGAGGGCGGAAGUCCCUUAUACACCCAUAUCUGACGAUUGCGGGAUGCGCCGCUAUAGGAAUCACUAGCAAUAGGAUCACAUGACACAGGGAUUGCCAGCUAUUGGCCACUAACCACUUAAAAAGACCUCUUAAGCCAUUAGAAAGGAAAUCCUCCUGAUGAAGCAUUAGCGAAACGUACGUCGAGGAGUACGCCAGAUAGAGACAGCCCACAUACACGCCACUGGAUAUCGGGUAAGUGAGAAGCUUAGAUCGGUCCGAUACAUUCAUUAUGGCAGCUUUAUGUUGUACUGAAUUGUUUGGAUGGUAUGGAUCAAAAUAUAUGGAUGCCAUCUAUACCCGAUAUUUAUUCAUGCUAGAUUCACCUUACAGAUGAGGUAGUUGUGUUUUCAUGGCUAGAUACAGCUUUGAUAAUUAUAUGCUGAUCUAGACCCCUCAUUCACAACGCCCUCACUGUGAUUGAGGGAAUCAAGCGAUUGAAUAUCUGCUGGUAGUGGAAUUAUUGUGGACUGCCCCUUGAGGCACGCU